AUGAUUUGGAAACACAGAAACGACUGCAUCUUCGACCGCGCGCAACCGUCCGUUCACACCUUAGUGAGUAGGAUCAAAGCCGAAGCCAGGCUCUGGACUACUGCUGGCGCUGCUGGGCUUAGAGUUGUGCUGCCCACCACAUGGGAUGUGCACUAG
rnacentral:rRNA from 1 species